rnacentral:tRNA from 1 species
GCCCGUGUAGCUUAGUGUAGAGCGUUGGUAAUCAAAGGUAUCGGUUCAAUCCCGAUCGGGGGCU